rnacentral:rRNA from 1 species
AGGACGAACGCUGGCGGCACGCUUAACACAUGCAAGUCGAACGGAGUUGUUGGAGCUUGCUCUGAACAACUUAGUGGCGGACGGGUGAGUAACACGUGAGCAACCUGCCUUUGAGAGCGGAAUAGCUUCUGGAAACGGAUGGUAAUACCGCAUAACAUUAACGGACCGCAUGAUCUGUUAAUCAAAGAUUUAUCGCUCAAAGAUGGGCUCGCGGCUGAUUAGAUAGUUGGUGGGGUAACGGCCUACCAAGUCGACGAUCAGUAGCCGGACUGAGAGGUUGAACGGCCACAUUGGGACUGAGACACGGCCCAGACUCCUACGGGAGGCAGCAGUGGGGAAUAUUGCACAAUGGGCGGAAGCCUGAAUGCAGCGAUGCCGCGUGGAGGAAGAAGGUUUUCGGAUUGUAAACUCCUUUUAUCAGGGACGAUAAUGACGGUACCUGAAGAAAAAGCUCCGGCUAACUACGUGCCAGCCGCAGC